AUAUUAAAGUAGUAUUAGUUAUAUUCUUGAAACUUAAAGAAUUUGGCGGUAUUUUAAUCUAUUUAGAGGAACCUGUCCUGUAAUCGAUAUUCCUCGUUAAAUUUUACUGAAUUUUAUUAUUUGUAUAUCGUUGUCGAAAAAAUAUUUUUAUAAAAUUUAAAUUUUUAAAUAUUAUUAAUAUAAUAGAUGUCAAAUCAAGGUGCAGUUUAUAAUUCAGAAGAGAUGGGUUACAAUAAAAUUAUUUAAGCGGAAUUAUUUUUGAAUUAGGAGUAAUGAAGAUGGAUUUAAAUGUAAAUUUUUUUUAAAAAAAAUAAUUGAUUAAAGCUCUAAAAUAUGU
rnacentral:rRNA from 1 species